AUUGAACGCUGGCGGCAGGCCUAACACAUGCAAGUCGAGCGAGCGGCGGACGGGUGAGUAAUGUCUGGGAAAUUGCCUGAUGGAGGGGGGUAACUACUGGAGACGGUAGCUAAUACCGCAUACCAUCAGAUGUGCCCACAUGGGAUUAGAUGGUUGGUGGGGGAACGGCUCACCAAGGCGACGAUCCCUAGCUGGUGUGAGAGGAUGACCAGCCACACUGGAACUGAGACACGGUCCAGACUCCUACGGGAGGCAGCAGUGGGGAAUAUUGCACAAUGGGCGCAAGCCUGAUGCAGCCAUGCCGCGUGUGUGAAGAAGGCCUUCGGGUUGUAAAGCACUUUCAGCGAGGAGGCGUUACUCGCAGAAGAAGCACCGGCUAACUCCGUGCCAGCCGCCGCGGUAAUAC
rnacentral:rRNA from 1 species